rnacentral:rRNA from 1 species
CAGCCGCCACGGUAAUACGUAGGGUGCGAGCGUUAAUCGGAAUUACUGGGCGUAAAGCGUGCGCAGGCGGUUGUGUAAGACAGGUGUGAAAUCCCCGGGCUUAACCUGGGAACUGCGCUUGUGACUGCACAGCUAGAGUAUGGCAGAGGGGGGUGGAAUUCCACGUGUAGCAGUGAAAUGCGUAGAGAUGUGGAGGAACACCGAUGGCGAAGGCGGCCCCCUGGGCCAAUACUGACGCUCAUGCACGAAAGCGUGGGGAGCAAACAGGAUUAGAUACCCGUGUAGUCCCUGUCUCUUAUAC